rnacentral:piRNA from 1 species
UAGGGGUUAGAAAUCACCUGAGGUGGCACAU